rnacentral:rRNA from 1 species
GACGUAGGGCGCGAGCGUUGUCCGGAUUUAUUGGGCGUAAAGAGCUUGUAGGCGGUUUGUCGCGUCGUCCGUGGAAACUCACAGCUUAACUGUGAGCUUGCGGUCGAUACGGGCAGGCUAGAGUUCGGUAGGGGAGACUGGAAUUCCUGGUGUAGCGGUGAAAUGCGCAGAUAUCAGGAGGAACACCGAUGGCGAAGGCAGGUCUCUGGGCCGCUACUGACGCUGAGAAGCGAAAGCGUGGGGAGCGAACAGG